rnacentral:rRNA from 1 species
GACGAACGCUGGCGGCGUGCUUAACACAUGCAAGUCGAACGGGGGCUCCUUCUUCGGUUGGGGUUCUAGUGGCGAACGGGUGAGUAACACGUGGGCAACCUGCCCCUGGCUCUGGGAUAACUCCAAGAAAUUGGGGCUAAUACCGGAUAUGACCGCUGAUCGCAUGGUCUGGUGGUGGAAAGAUUUAUCGGCUGGGGAUGGGCCCGCGGCCUAUCAGCUUGUUGGUGGGGUAGUGGCCUACCAAGGCGACGACGGGUAGCCGGCCUGAGAGGGUGACCGGCCACACUGGGACUGAGACACGGCCCAGACUCCUACGGGAGGCAGCAGUGGGGAAUAUUGCGCAAUGGGCG